rnacentral:rRNA from 1 species
CAGUCGCCGCGGUAAUACAGAGGGUGCGAGCGUUAAUCGGAAUUACUGGGCGUAAAGGGUGCGUAGGCGGUUCGGUAAGUUGAAGGUGAAAUCUCGGGGCUUAACCCCGAAACUGCCUUCAAUACUGCUAGGCUCGAGGACUGUAGAGGAGAAUGGAAUUCACGGUGUAGCAGUGAAAUGCGUAGAUAUCGUGAGGAAGACCAGUGGCGAAGGCGAUUCUCUGGGCAGUUCCUGACACUGAGGCACGAAGGCCAGGGGAGCAAACGGGAUUAGAUACCCCGGUAGUCCCUGUCUCUUAUAC